rnacentral:rRNA from 1 species
UACAGAGGGUGCGAGCGUUAAUCGGAAUUACUGGGCGUAAAGCGUGCGUAGACGGUUAUUUAAGUCGGAUGUGAAAGCCCCGGGCUCAACCUGGGAAUUGCAUUCGAGACUGAAUAGCUAGGGUACGGUAGAGGGAAGUGGAAUUUCCGGUGUAGCGGUGAAAUGCGUAGAUAUCGGAAGGAACAUCAGUGGCGAAAGCGACUUCCUGGACCAGUACCGACGUUCAGGCACGAAAGCGUGGGGAGCAAACAG